AAGUCGUAACAAGGUUUCCGUAGGUGAACCUGCGGAAGGAUCAUUACAGUUGGGGCCCCGCCCCGAUCAAGAUACCACCCCUUGCUUUUUGAGUACCUCUGUUUCCUCGGCGGGCUCGCCCGCCAACGGGGACCACAAAGAAACCUCUUGCAGUUGCAGUAAACGUCAAAAAUCAAAACAAAUCAAAACUUUCAACAACGGAUCUCUUGGUUCUG
rnacentral:misc_RNA from 1 species